rnacentral:rRNA from 1 species
UACGUAGGGUGCAAGCGUUGUCCGGAAUUAUUGGGCGUAAAGAGCUCGUAGGCGGUCCGUCACGUCGGCUGUGAAAACCCGGGGCUCAACCCCGGGCCUGCAGUCGAUACGGGCGGACUAGAGUUCGGCAGGGGAGACUGGAAUUCCUGGUGUAGCGGUGAAAUGCGCGGAUAUCAGGAGGAACACCGGUGGCGAAGGCGGGUCUCUGGGCCGAUACUGACGCUGAGGAGCGAAAGCGUGGGGAGCGAACAGG